ensembl:lncRNA
AUAGGUCUUCAGUGUGUGACAGGUUAGUACACGUGGUGAACCUAUAGGACCUCAGUGUGACAGGUUAGUACAGUGGUGAACCUAUAGGUCUUCAGUGUGUGACAGGUUAGUACAGUGGUGAACCUAUAGGUCUUCAGUGUGUGACAGGUUAGUACAGUGGUGAACCUAUAGGUCUUCAGUGUGUACAGGUUAGUACAGUGGUGAACCUAUAGGUCUCAGUGUGUGACAGGUUAGUAAAGUGUGAACCUGUAGGCCUUCAGUGUGUAACAGGUUAGUACAGUGGUGAACCUAUAGGACUUCAGUUGUGUGUGACAGGUUAGUACAGUGGUGAACCUAUAGGUCUUCAGUGUAUGACAGGUUAGUACAGUGGUGAACCAUAGGUCUUCAGUGUGUGACAGGUUAGUACAUGGGUGAACCUAUAGGACUUCAGUGUGUGACAGGUUAGUAAAGUGGUGAACCUGUAGGCCUUCAGUGUGUAACAGGUUAGUACAGUGGUGAACCUAUAGGACUUCAGUGUGUGUGUGACAGGUUAGUACAGUGGUGAACCUAUAGGUCUUCAGUGUUAGACAGGUUAGUACAGUGGUGAACCUAUAGGUCUUCAGUGUGUGACAGGUUAGUACAGUGGGUGAACCUAUAGGACUUCAGUGUGUGACAGGUUAGUACAGUGGUGAACCUAUAGGCUUCAGUGUUGACAGUGGUGAACCUAUAGGUCUUCAUGUGUGUGUGACAGGUUAGUACAUGUGAACCUAUAGGUCUUCAGUGUGUGACAGGUUAGUACAGUGGUGAACCUAUAGGCCUUCAGUGUGUGACAGUGGUGAACCUAUAGGUCUUCAGUGUGUGUGUGACAGGUUAGUACAGUGGUGAACCUAUAGGUCUUCAGUGUGUGACAGGUUAGUACAGUGGUGAACCUAUAGGCCUUCAGUGUGUGACAGGUUAGUACAGUGGUGAACCUAUAGGUUUCAGUGGUUGGACAGUUCAGUGUGAACCUAUAGGUCUUCAGUAGUAAUAGGUUAGUACAGUGGUGAACCUAUAGGACUUCAGUGUGUGACAGGUUAGUACAGUGGUGAACCUAUAGGUCUUCAGGAUGUAACAGGUUAGUACAGUGGUGAACCUAUAGGUCUUCAGUGUGUGACAGGUUAGUACAGUGGUGAACCUAUAGGUCUUCAGUUAACGGUGUAGUACAGUGUUGAACCUAUAGGUCUUCAGUAUGAACAGGUUAGUACAGUGGUGAACCUAUAGGACUUCAGUGUGUGACAGGUUAGUACAGUGGUGAACCUAUAGGCCUUCAGUGUGUGACAGGUUUAGUACAGUGGUGAACCUAUAGGUCUUCAGUGUGUGACAGGUUAGUACAGUGGUGAACCUAUAGGUCUUCAGUAUGUAACAGGUUAGUACAGUGGUGAACCUAUAGGUCUUCAGUGUGUGACAGGUUAGUACAGUGGUGAACCUAUAGGUCUUCAGUGUAACAGGUUAGUACAGUGUUGAACCUAUAGGUCUUCAGUAGUAACAGGUUAGUACAGUGGUGAACCUAUAGGCUUCAGUGUGUGACAGGUUAGUACAGUGGUGAACCUAUAGGCCUUCAGUGUGUGACAGGUUAGUACAGUGGUGACCUAUAGGUCUUCAGUGGUGACAGGUUAGUACAGUGGUGAACCUAUAGGUCUUCAGUGUACAGGUUAGUACAGUGGUGAACCUAUAGGUCUUCAGUAUGUAACAGGUUAGUACAGUGUGAACCUAUUAGGCCUUCCAGUGUUGUGACAGGUUAGUACAGUGGUGAACCUAUAGGCCUUCAGUGUGUGACAGGUUAGUACAGUGGUGAACC